CACGAAUUAGAAAGACAAGAUGUUAAUUACACGGAUUGUUCAAAACGGUUUCAAGAAGUAGCCAGGGAUUUUUCAAAGCAAUAUGCACAUAUUUAUUCUGCAAGACUUAACACUUAUAGAAACAUUAUGAUACCAAUUAUUAAGAAAAAUGGUCAGAUCGCCAUAAGAUUUUAAAAUUGUGUGAACUCCGUGAUAAAGGUACCACUUGCAUUAUUAUUGGGACACUUUUCAAGUUCAAGAAUUAAAACCUAGUAUCCUGAAAGAAUUGUCUGAUCAACUGGAAAUAAUACCCCAAGCUCCCAGGUGAGAACAUUGAGAUUAGAAAAUGUCUUGGUUAGUGGGUAUCCCUAAGUUGGAUUAUUUGCAUGAAUUGUAUUGUUUCAGAACACAUUUGUGCAUGAAUCCGACAGUUUAGUGUUGGAGGAUGAGCUUCAGAGAAUAAAGUUGGUUGGAGACUGCAUUGAUGUCCAUGAAGUUGUAACUGGAGUAGUUUGUGCUUUAUUAGGCUCUGAAGAUGAAGAUGGUAUAUUUACAGUCCAGGACGUCUGUUGGGCAGGCUGUGGUAUACAAAACCAUUGCCAAAAUUAAGCUCAGACAGAUACAUUGUCUUGAUGUCAGGCUUGAAUACAUCAAGAACAGCUAAUCACAUGUUCUCAAUGCAUUUGUUGAUGGAAUGGCUGUCAGGUUUGUCUGGCACCUCAGAAUAUCAGGAAGAAGUUUCUAAGAUUGUCC